UAUAAAAGAGUCGGCUCUGCGUUUAUAUUAUGUCAGUUAAGUCAGUUGGUAAAUGAGUUGGAACUUGGAUCGCUGUGCGUGUGGACUCCGGUGUUCUUUAUUUCAAUCGCGUAAAGAGCUGAAUCAGUAGAGUUGGCGUGUGUUCAGAUUUUUGUGAACCUCUGGCCGAUCUUUCCUUCGAAUACUGAAAAUGGGGAACAUCAUUAUGCGAUCUUUUAGAGAGAAGCUGGAACAAGAAGAACUGGAUAGAGAAUUCUAUUUCAUCUUUGUGCUACUGUAUGUCUUCCUUCUUCUCCUUGUUCUGCUUUCGUGGAUUAAUCAGCUGGCAGAGAACGAGAUCCAUUACGACCGUGAACACGAGAAUCAUGCGGAUUGAGGCUGCUCAGGCGGAGAAGAAGAAAGCCCCAUUGAUGAAAAAGGCAAAUGGACUUUUGGGUUCUGAAUAUAAUUUUUUGUUCAUUUUCAUGAAGAUUGCUACUCAGUCGGAGAAGAAAAGAGAGAAAAUAAAGAAUACGAAUACUACUUCUCUGA